GAGCAAUUGGUACAUAUACGGCAC
rnacentral:siRNA from 1 species